rnacentral:rRNA from 1 species
CCUACGGGGGGCAGCAGUGGGGAAUAUUGGGCAAUGGGCGCAAGCCUGACCCAGCAACGCCGCGUGAAGGAAGAAGGCUUUCGGGUUGUAAACUUCUUUUGACAGGGAAGAGUAGAAGACGGUACCUGUCGAAUAAGCCACGGCUAACUACGUGCCAGCAGCCGCGGUAAUACGUAGGUGGCAAGCGUUGUCCGGAUUUACUGGGUGUAAAGGGCGUGUAGCCGGGUUGACAAGUCAGAUGUGAAAUCCUGCGGCUUAACCGCAGAACUGCAUUUGAAACUGUUGAUCUUGAGUACUGGAGAGGCAGACGGAAUGCCUGGUGUAGCGGUGAAAUGUGUAGAUAUUAGGAGGAACACCAGUGGCGAAGGCAGUCUGCUGGACAGCAACUGACGGUGAGGCGCGAAAGCGUGGGGAGCAAACAGGAUUAGAUACCCCUGUAGUC